rnacentral:pre_miRNA from 1 species
UAUGGUAAAAAUGGCGAUUUUCUGUGCAAAAAGCUACAUAAACAUUGUACAUGUUUACAUACGCAAGUGCUCGUAGCUUUUUGCACAGAAACACUCAUUUUUUACAAUAAAU